rnacentral:rRNA from 1 species
UACGAAGGGGGCUAGCGUUGUUCGAAAUUACUGGGCGUAAAGCGCGCGCAGGCGGUUCUUCAAGUCAGAGGUGAAAGCCCAGAGCUCAACUCUGGAAUGGCCUUUGAGACUAGAGAACUAGGGUACGGGAGAGGUGAGUGGAAUUCCGAGUGUAGAGGUGAAAUUCGUAGAUAUUCGGAAGAACACCAGUGGCGAAGGCGGCUCACUGGCCCGUUACCGACGCUCAGGCGCGACAGCGUGGGGAGCAAACAGG